UACAGAGGGUGCGAGCGUUAAUCGGAAUUACUGGGCGUAAAGGGCGCGUAGGCGGUCCUGAUCGUCGGAUGUGAAAGGCCUGGGCUCAACCUGGGAAUGGCAUCCGAUACGGCGGGACUGGAGUGUGGGAGAGGUUGGUGGAAUUCCCAGUGUAGAGGUGAAAUUCGUAGAUAUUGGGAAGAACACCGGUGGCGAAGGCGGCCAACUGGACCACAACUGACGCUGAGGCGCGAAAGCGUGGGGAGCAAACAGG
rnacentral:rRNA from 1 species